AAAACGACUCUCGGCAACGGAUAUCUAGGCUCUCGCAUCGAUGAAGAACGUAGCAAAAUGCGAUACUUGGUGUGAAUUGCAGAAUCCCGUGAACCAUCGAGUUUUUGAACGCAAGUUGCGCCCGAAGCCAUUAGGCCGAGGCACGUCUGCCUGGGCGUCUCAC
rnacentral:rRNA from 1 species